UACGUAGGGGGCAAGCGUUGUCCGGAUUUAUUGGGCGUAAAGAGCGUGUAGGCGGCCAGGUAGGUCUGCUGUGAAAACUCGAGGCUUAACCUCGAGCUGUCGGCGGAAACCAUUUGGCUAGAGUCCGGAAGAGGAGAGUGGAAUUCCUGGUGUAGCGGUGAAAUGCGCAGAUAUCAGGAAGAACACCAAUGGCGAAAGCAGCUCUCUGGGACGGUACUGACGCUGAGACGCGAAAGCGUGGGGAGCGAACAGG
rnacentral:rRNA from 1 species